rnacentral:rRNA from 1 species
UACUGACACUGAGGUGCGAAAGCGUGGGUAGCGAACAGGAUUAGAUACCCUGGUAGUCCACGCCGUAAACGAUGACAACUAGCUGUUGGGAGACAAGAUCUCUCAGUGGCGCAGCUAACGCUUUAAGUUGUCCGCCUGGGGAGUACGGCCGCAAGGUUAAAACUCAAAUGAAUUGACGGGGACCCGCACAAGCGGUGGAGCAUGUGGUUUAAUUCGAUGCAACGCGAAAAACCUUACCUACUCUUGACAUACUUGGAAGCUCUUGUAAUGAGAGUGUGCUUUUAGAGCCAAGAUACAGGUGCUGCAUGGCUGUCGUCAGCUCGUGUCGUGAGAUGUUGGGUUAAGUCCCAUAACGAGCGCAACCCUUACCCUUAUUUGCCAGCGGUUCGGCCGGGAACUAUAAGGGGACUGCCGGUGACAAACCGGAGGAAGGUGAGGACGACGUCAAGUCAUCAUGGCCCUUACGAGUAGGGCUACACACGUGCUACAAUGGGGAAUACAGACGGACGCUAAAGCGUGAGCUGGUGCUAAUCCUAAAAAAUUUCUCGUAGUCCGGAUUGCAGUCUGCAACUCGACUGCAUGAAGUCGGAAUCGCUAGUAAUCGCGAAUCAGCAUGUCGCGGUGAAUACGUUCUCGGGUCUUGUACACACCGCCCGUCACACCAUGGAAGUGUGUUGCACCAGAAGUAGGUAGUCUAACCUUCGGGAAGGCGCUUACCACGGUGUGAUCCAUGAGUGGGGUGAAGUCGUAACAAGGUAACCGUA